AGCGAACGCUAGCGGCGGGCCUAACACAUGCAAGUCGAGCGGAGGGGCAACCCUCAGCGGCGAACGGGUGAGUAACACGUAGGUAAUGUACCCUCUGGUGGGGAAUAACCGUGGGAAACCAUGGCUAAUACCGCAUAUGUCUUUCGAGAUGAAAGCAGCAAUGCGCCAGAGGAGCAGCCUGCGGCCGAUUAUUUAGUCCUAGUUGGUGAGGUAAUGGCUCACCAAGGGUACGAUCGGUAGCUGGUCUGAGAGGAUGAUCAGCCACACUGGAACUGAGACACGGUCCAGACUCCUACGGGAGGCAGCAGUGGGGAAUAUUGCGCAAUGGGCGAAAGCCUGACGCAGCCACGCCGCGUGAGUGAUGAAGGCC
rnacentral:rRNA from 1 species